rnacentral:lncRNA from 1 species
AUUCAUGUGAAAUUAAUUUGUAGGUGUCAUCUAAAAAUACAUUAAAUGAGGAAGAGGCAAAUUUGAGAUUUUUAGAUAUUGACUGUUAACAGUUGGACAAUAAAGCCAUAAUGUUUGUUAUAGACUCUGAUGUUAAAAUGUUAAACUAUAUAUUUACUGCAUUAUGUACAAUUGAUGAUACAUGUUAUGCUUUGAAUUUAUGCAGACCAAUCUUUUAAGCUAACCUGGCCUAAAAAAGGUUAAGCAACAAGUUGAAUAAGCUAUGGCCAUGGUCCUUCUGCUGCCAUCAUUAAACUUUACACAUAAAAUUGUUAUCUUUAGAACUGUAAACUGCAC